UGGGCAGUGACAUUGUCAUCCCGCCCAGCUUGCAGCCUGCUCUGGCACAGCCUCCUCACGGUCUGCACACCCAUGACUCCGAGGUGAGUCCUGGGGGCCCCGCCUAGAGCUCCAGGGAGGACCACGCCACACAUGGCCCUGGCAUCUCACAGGAGGAUGGAAAGAGGAACUUUGAAGGCCACGGUCAUUGCCAUGGACACCAAGCUUACUCUGCUUGCACAGUUCUUUAAGUCCAGGGUUGCAAACACAACACCUACAGGGCCAGACAGGCAAGAUGAAGCUAAAGCCAGCUGCUAUAGAACAACCUGGAGUUUCAGGGAGGCUUCCAUUAACUCAGCUUGAACAUCUUGAACAUGCCCUUUCCUCAUGUCACAGACAGCUGCUCCUGAACCAUGGCAGUCAGCUCUCCAGAAAUCCAAAUUUUCUGUUACUGUUAUUGUUGGCAACCAGUUUAAGUGAGUUUCACAACAAGGUGCAGGCUGAAGAUGUUGAGGUCUGAGGACCGGGUUCGGCCUGUUCACCUGUCUGGGUCCUGGCUUAGAAAGCCACCACUGGGCGACAACCCGCUGACCCCAGAGGCUGCCGGGGUCUGUUCCCAUCCCUAACACCACACUGCCCCCUGCUGGUCCUGGCUCACUGCAUUUUUCCAUCCGACUGAUUUUCUAGGCCCAGUAACUCGUAAUUGCCCCGGAGGCAAAUUUUGGGAAUAAAUUAAAUGUUUUGGAGUUUCUUGGGCAAGGCGGGAUUUUGAAUGUGCCUCCAGGGAGUCAAAAAUUGAGCGUCAGCACUGGUGCAGACAAAC
rnacentral:lncRNA from 1 species